CGAGCGCAACCCUCGUCCUUAGUUGUCCAUCAUUAAGUUGGGCACUUUAAGGAAACUGCCGGUGAUAAGCCGGAGGAAGGUGGGGAGUGACGUCAAGUCCUCAUGGCCUUACAGGCUGGGCUACACACGUGCUACAAUGGCAUCUACAGUGGGCAGCUAUUCCGCAAGGAUGCGCUAAUCUCCAAAAGAUGUCUCAGUUCGGAUUGUCCUCUGCAACUCGAGGGCAUGAAGGCGGAAUCGCUAGUAAUCGCGGAUCAGCAUGCCGCGGUGAAUACGUUCCCAGGCCUU
rnacentral:rRNA from 1 species